UGAUGCCUUGGCAUUGAUAGGCGAUGAAGGACGCGCAUACCUGCGAUAAUCUUCGGGGAGCUGGAAAGAAGCUAUGAACCGGAGGUCUCCGAAUGGGGAAACCCAAUAGAGUUAAUCCUCUAUUAUUCCUGGCUGAAUACAUAGGCUAGGAAGGCGAUACCUGCUGAAUUGAGACAUCUAAGUAAGCAGAGGAAAGUAAAUCAAACGAGAUUCCCAUAGUAGCGGCGAGCGAAGUGGGAAUAGCCCAAACCGAGAAUUUAUUCUCGGGGUUGUAGGACUAGUCGUAAAGCAGAAGACAGUAUAGUCGAACUAUCUGGGAAGGUAGGCGAUACAGGGUGAGAGCCCCGUAGACUAAAUGUUGUCCAAGUGAGACUAGCACCUGAGUAGGGCCGGACACGUGAAACCCGGUCUGAAUCUGGGGGGACCACCCUCCAAGGCUAAAUACUCGUCAAUGACCGAUAGUGAACCAGUACAGUGAUGGAAAGGUGAAAAGAACCCUUGUUAAGGGAGUGAAAUAGAACCUGAAACCAGUAGCCUACAAGCGGUCAGAGGCCUAUGUUCCUUUUAGGAAAAUGGCUGAUGGCGUGCCUUUUGCAUGAUGAGCCAA
rnacentral:rRNA from 1 species